UUCUCCAGUCCCCUCAGAUACGCCCGCCCCUCUCUCUUCCACUUCUCUUGCCUUCCCCACGAAGGCUCCUCGAUUUUGGCGAGAUGCGGCUCGAGAUCCUGCCGGGGAAGAGAGAGCGAGCUGCCGCGGGCGUCCUCACCGCAGCACAAAGGGAACACAGAUCUUCUUGGUUGUGACACCAGAUGUCUAGAAGAAUAAUUCACCCGCGGCUGCUGUGGCGGCGGGGCCAACGGCCGUGGACGACGGGGAGGACGACCACUCCUUGCAGCAGGCCAAGGGAGCAGCGUCGGUUGGAUCCAGGAGUAGCACUGGUGUGGGAUCCGCCGCGGCCAGCCUGCGCUCAAGGGCCUCCGCUUCCUCAACAAGACGGCCGCCGGCAAGGACGGCUAGAAGUCCGUCGAGAAGCUCUUCGACGAGAUGAGCGCCGAUGGAUGCCUCCACCAGAACUUCGCCAAGUGCAUCGUUAGGAAGGCGCACGAACCGAGGGCAGCCCGGAAUCGGCGCUGAAUCCGUCGUCGUGCUCCUGGAGCGUCGGGAUCGACAACAGCAUCGCCGGCAGCCCGCCCGCGAAAGCGUCGCCCUGGAGGACGACUGAGAACGAGGUGAGCGCUGAGGUCGAGGACGUCGUCCGGGACGAUGCCGCUCAGGUUCAUAGCGGCGAGGUCGAUAGCGGUGACCGCACCCCGCGUGUUGCAGCGCACACCCUUCCAGCUACAGCUCCAGCCCCAGAGCUUCCCCAGGGGUCGACGAGCGAGGCCCUGAUGGCCGGCAGCGCCGCAGCCUCGGCAUUGGACAGUGUGGCGCAGUACAAGAGCCACAAGCCGGAGAAAAGCAUGUAGUGCUACUCGGACUAGUAGCAGUCGCCAUGCUUGGCUCUCCUCCUUCGAUUCUCCAUUACUCUCUGUUCAGCUAGCUUUCAUUUGGCUGAAUCGCGAGUUUGUUGCAUUUUCAGUUGGCUGCAGCGCAAGUUGACGGCUCUUAAUUACAAAAUUCAGUCAACGAUCACAUCCUCUUAGUUAUUAUCAAAUCUUGGCAAGCCAAGAUAUUACUCCGGCUUGUGGCUCAUGAAUUUACGCGGACAGGAGUAGUACAAAAUUUUACUAUAUGUAGGUACUUUCAAUGGGUUCCAAGAUAUAUUUCAUAACUAUUAAUAGCGGCUGGGAGGAGGUAGCCAAUGGGGUUCCACAACCGGACGAGGGCUUUGGCGUCGAUCUCCCUCCUCCUGCUCCCAAUCGCCGGUACGGCCUCCAUCGACUAGAUCUUCACCACCUCCGAUCAUACAUAGCAUGGGAUCAUCUGCAUUAAGUGAUAUUGUGAAGUAUCUAAUAUAGAAGAAACUAUUGCAAGCUCUCUAAGAUUGCAUGCGCUUAAGGCAAGAUUAUCAAAUGUCUGACCUGUGAGCUGUCAUUUGUUCAGUGAGUCAAUCUCUUUUCAGUUUUAACGUUUUAUGUACUGUCCCUACUUCUUUCAGCUGCCAAAAAGAAUUAGUGAUACAUCAAAUGCUGAAUCAGGUUCAGAUGUUCAUGAUCCUGGAUCGCCUAUAGCCCCUGAAGAUGUUAAAUUCAUAGUUUGUAUAACGUUUUAUGCGUUGUUCCUUCUUCUUUCAGUUACCAAAAAGAAUUAGUGAUACAUCAAAUACUGAAUCAGGUUCAGAUGUUGAUGAUCUUGCAUCCCCCAUAGCCCCUGAAGAUGUUCAAUAUCAUAGUUUGGCUCCACUCUGUGAGGAAGUAGAUCUCUGUUCCCUUAAUUCUGGCAUUAUAUUAAUAUGUUCCAUUCAUGAUUCACUUGCCAACUAUACUAGGUCAUACAUUCCUAUGAACAUAAGGAGAAAACAGAUAUUUCUUUUUCGUCUUGACAUGCCUAAAUGUUUGGAGUUGUUGCCUGGCAAAAAUAUACUGUAUGCAACUCCGUCAGUAUUCAGGAUGUAUCCUUCAUGUUUAUGAUGAUCUGUGAUUCCUUGUAGUUGCUUCAUUCGUAGUCAAAGUUGCUUCUGCAAGACCAUUUGGGGAAUUUUAGUACCUUUACAAGUCUAGGGCACAAAUUUAAAAAUCAGAUGCAAGGAGAAGAAUUAAUUUUUCAUCUCCAAGCCGCUGUGUGGCAUUAUGACAUUCUUAUUUUUUUGUAAGCGUUUAAUUUGUAUAGAAUUGAAAUCACCUGGUUUGCAUUAGCAUUUCAAAGAGGCAAAAAUAACAUAUACCGCUUGUGUGGGAAAAAUGUUGGUAUCUUGGUGUUAGCUUCAUAUGUGAUCACUAAUGCUAGCAAUCAUCAUAUAUUGGCCAAGUUGAAUUUGUGUAGGGUACAUCAAGAUGAAGAUCAAGAGAAUUCCGAUGAAAGGCAUCAUGUUGAUUCUAAUAUGGAAAUGGAUGAUGCCAAGUCUCAAAACUCUGAAAUGUGUUCUGUUUAUUUGGUUCUUAGUUGUGGCUUCAUCAGGUCCCUUUCUUCAGCCAAACUAAAGCACUUAAUGUUAGCUUAUCUUCGCUUUUGGAUUAAAUGUAGUGCAUCGUAUCACCCAUUUAUACUUCAUGGGCGAGUCGUACAUAUCCUCAUUAGAUGUACCACUGCGUAUGAUGGUUAUAUUAUAUGUAUGUUU